rnacentral:lncRNA from 1 species
UCUAUUCCUCCCUUUAAAGUGGCUAAGAGACUAAGACAGGGUGACCCUAUAUCUCUAUUUUUAUUUUCCAUUUUUAUGGAGUUUCUUAGUCGAAGUCUGUCUAAGUUAAAGGAGGAUCAACAUUUUAGGUUUCAUCCUAAAUGUGCAAGAUUAGGGAUUACACACUUGUGUUUUGCUAAUGAUCUAUUACUGUUUGCACGAGGUGAUUUAUCCUCUAUUUCAGCAUUAUUUCAGUAUUUUCAAAGAUUUUCUCAAGCUUCGGGACUCACAACAAACAUAGAGAAAAGCAGUUUCUAUUGUGGUGGAAUGACAGAACAGGAAAAGACAAUUUUGUUACAGAAAUUUGGGUUCUGACUAGGAGAACUUCCCUUCAAAUAUCUGGGCAUCCCAUUAUCCAUAAAGAAAUUGGGUAUCCUGCAAUGGAGUCCUCUAAUAGACAAGAUUAUUGCAUAGAUAGCCUCAUAGACCUCCCAAAAACUAUCUUAUACCGGGAGGGUAUAAUUAGUACAGUUAAUCUUAUUUGAUAUACAAGCUUAUUGGUUCCAAUUAUUUUUUAUCCCCUUUAAAGUCCUGAAACUUAUUGAAGCCUACUGUCGAAGCUAUGUAUGAUCCGGGGUAAGUAUUAUUACUAGAAAAGCUCUUGUCUCGUGGAAUAAAAUGUGUAUACCUUACUCAAUUGGGGGCCUCAACCUUAUCAAUAUCUGCAUUUGGAAUAAGGCUGCACUAGCCAAAACCUGUUGGGACUUAGCUCACAAAAGUGACAAACUGUGGAUAUGUUGGAUUCAUAGCUUUUAUAUUAAAUCUGAUCAGGUCUCCACAACUCCUAUUCCAUAGCAAGCCUUUUGGACGAUCAAAAGUAUCAUUGCUACCAGAGAAACACUGCUGCAAACACAAUUGAUGGAGCAUCAACAUAAGAUAACAAUCCGAAAGAUUUAUUUACAAUUGCUGGGUGAAGGAACUAGGAUACCUUGGAAAUGUCUGAUGAUGGAUAAUGGAGCCCGACCAUAGGCAAAAAAUUCUUGUUGUUGUUGCAGAUUCAAAUCAAGUUACUAACAAAAGAUCAGCUACUCAAAUGGGAAUUAGAGGUGGAUAAAUUCUACAAGUUAUGUACAGGGAAUCAGGAAACUCGAACUCACCUGUUUGUUCACUGUGAAUACUCGAAGGAUUUGUGGCAUAGAUUAUUACGAUGGAUAGAGAUAAGUCCUGUUGAUACUAUUACAUGGGAGGAACAUGAGGAUUGGGUGAUAAAGAAAUUCAAGGGCAAAUCAUUACAGGCACAACUCUUUAAAAUGGUCUAUGCGGAAUUUGUACAUGCACUAUGGUUGAAAAGGAACUAUCGAUUGUUUGAAGAGAAGAAUAGACACUGGGAAUCUUUGGCUAAGGAGAUAGCCUAUUAUUGUAAUGUGAGAGCUAAUUUGGUUCUUCGAAC